rnacentral:rRNA from 1 species
CUGAAACAUCUAAGUACCUGCAGGAAGAGAAAGAAAAUUCGAUUCCCUGAGUAGCGGCGAGCGAAACGGGAAAAGCCCAAACCAGCAAGCUUGCUUGUUGGGGUUGUAGGACUCCAAUAUGGUAGUUCUUUCAGAUAGUCGAAUGACUUGGAAAAGUCAGUCAAAGAGGGUAAAAACCCCGUAGACGAAAUGUGGAAGACACCUAGGAGGAUCCUGAGUACGGCGGAACACGAGAAAUUCCGUCGGAAUCCGGGAGGACCAUCUCCCAAGGCUAAAUACUCCCUAGUGACCGAUAGUGAACCAGUACCGUGAGGGAAAGGUGAAAAGCACCCCGGAAGGGGAGUGAAAUAGAACCUGAAACCGUGUGCCUACAACAAGUCAAAGCCCGUUAAUGGGUGAUGGCGUGCCUUUUGUAGAAUGAACCGGCGAGUUACGAUUGCAUGCGAGGUUAAGUUGAAGAGACGGAGCCGCAGCGAAAGCGAGUCUGAAUAGGGCGUUUGAGUAUGUAGUCGUAGACCCGAAACCAUGUGAUCUACCCAUGUCCAGGUUGAAGGUGCGGUAAAACGCACUGGAGGACCGAACCCACGUACGUUGAAAAGUGCGGGGAUGAGGUGUGGGUAGCGGAGAAAUUCCAAACGAACUUGGAGAUAGCUGGUUCUCUCCGAAAUAGCUUUAGGGCUAGCCUCGGAAUUGAGAAUGAUGGAGGUAGAGCACUGUUUGGACUAGGGGCCCAUCUCGGGUUACCGAAUUCAGAUAAACUCCGAAUGCCAUUCAUUCAUAUCCGGGAGUCAGACUGUGAGUGAUAAGAUCCAUAGUCGAAAGGGAAACAGCCCAGACCACCAGCUAAGGUCCCAAAAUAUAUGUUAAGUGGAAAAGGAUGUGGGGUUGCACAGACAACUAGGAUGUUGGCUUAGAAGCAGCCACCAUUUAAAGAGUGCGUAAUAGCUCACUAGUCGAGUGACCCUGCGCCGAAAAUGUACCGGGGCUAAACAUAUUACCGAAGCUGUGGAGUACACCUUUAGGUGUAUUGGUAGGAGAGCGUUCUAAGGGCGUUGAAGGCAGAUCGUGAGGACUGCUGGAGCGCUUAGAAGUGAGAAUGCCGGUAUGAGUAGCGAAAGACAGGUGAGAAUCCUGUCCACCGAAUGACUAAGGUUUCCUGGGGAAGGCUCGUCCGC